UAUUGUUCUUCAACGAGGAAUCCCUAGUAAGUACAAGUCACUAGCUUGUGCUGAUUACGUCCCUGCCCUUUGUACACACCGCCCGUCGCUACUACCGAUUGAAUGGCUUAGUGAGGCCUUCGGAUCGGAGGUGAGGACUAGCAAUAGACCUUACUCUCGAGAAGUUGGUCAAACUUGGUCAUUUAGAGGAAGUAAAAGUCGUAACAAGGUUUCCGUAGGUGAACCUGCGGAAGGAUCAUUACCAACCUUUGGUGAGCCUUGGACUCGUCCAUGGUCUCGCGAAAACUUGUAUUUAAAACCCGCACAUAUAACUAAAAACAUGUAGUGAAAGAUAAUUAAAGAUCACUUUCAACAACGGAUCUCUUGGCUCUCGCAUCGAUGAAGAACGUAGCGAAGUGCGAUAAGUAGUGUGAAUUGCAGAAUCCGUGAAUCAUCGAAUUUUUGAACGCAAAUUGCACUCUCUGGCAAUCCAGGGAGUAUGCCUGUUUGAGGGUCAGUCUAAGUAAAAUCGAGGUGUCGCUUAGGUGACAUUUCGGAAUUGGGUUGCCUUGACCUUUCAGGUCAAGAGGCCUGAAAUUGACAUCUUCGCGCAUCCUGAACGUGAGUAAUUCAUUCAUCCGUUUUCGAUGCCGAUCUCUAUUAGGUAUGGUCAUGUCGUGGUGGUCGCGUACCUAUAAAUUCAUCAUAUUUUGACCUCAAAUCAGGUAGGAGUACCCCGCUGAACUUUAAGCAUAUCAAUAAGGCGGGAGGAAAAAGAAAAAUACAAUUGAUUUCCCCUAGUAACUGGCGAGUGGGAGGAAGGGAUAAGCCUCAAAUUUUAAUCUUGUCAGGUUAUACCUGACCGGAGUGUAAUUGAAGAACGUUUUCCUCCGCGGCUUUCUGAUCCAGUCAAGUCUUAUUGAACGAGGCAUUCUAUAAAGGUGUAUAAUCCGGUCCGGGUGAUGCCAAGGCCUUUAUGAAUACGGUCUUCUAGAGUCGAGUGUUUGGG
rnacentral:rRNA from 1 species